UGGGGAAUAUUGGACAAUGGGGCAACCCGUAGCAUCCAGCAAUGCCGCGUGUGUGAAGAAGGUUUUCGGAUUGUAAAGCACUUUCGACGGGGACGAUGAUGACGGUACCCGUAGAAGAAGCCCCGGCUAACUUCGUGCCAGCAGCCGCGGUAAUACGAAGGGGGCUAGCGUUGCUCGGAAUGACUGGGCGUAAAGGGCGUGUGGGCGGUUUGUACAGUCAGAUGUGAAAUCCCCGGGCUUAACCUGGGAGCUGCAUUUGAUACGUGCAGACUAGAGUGUGAGAGAGGGUUGUGGAAUUCCCAGUGUAGAGGUGAAAUUCGUAGAUAUUGGGAAGAACACCGGUGGCGAAGGCGGCAACCUGGCUCAUAACUGACGCUGAGGCGCGAAAGCGUGGGGAGCAAACA
rnacentral:rRNA from 1 species